UACGGGAGGCAGCAGUGGGGAAUCUUGCGCAAUGGGCGAAAGCCUGACGCAGCAACGCCGCGUGGGGGAUGAAGGCUCUCGGGUCGUAAACCCCUUUCAGCAGGGACGAAACUGACGGUACCUGCAGAAGAAGCCCCGGCCAACUACGUGCCAGCAGCCGCGGUAACACGUAGGGGGCAAGCGUUGUCCGGAUUUAUUGGGCGUAAAGAGCUCGUAGGUGGUUCGGUAAGUCAGGUGUGAAACCUCCAGGCUCAACCUGGAGACGCCACUUGAUACUGCUGUGACUGGAGUCCGGUAGGGGAGCGUGGAAUUCCUGGUGUAGCGGUGAAAUGCGCAGAUAUCAGGAGGAACACCAGCGGCGAAGGCGGCGCUCUGGGCCGGUACUGAUACUGAGGAGCGAAAGCGUGGGUAGCAAACAGGAUUAGAUACCCUGGUAG
rnacentral:rRNA from 1 species